AGCAUUACAAGAUUACCUGACUAACGUGAUGAGCCUGCAGUAUACUGAAAAACCAGAUUACACACUUCUGAAAGCUGGGCUUCACGAGAGCUUACAGAAGAUGGGUGGGAGUCUGAAUGAAUCACUGAAUCUGCAGGUGAAACCAUAAUCACAAGAGUUAGCAGGUGUGGAAUGUGGAUUUAAUUGUUUUAUGGAAUGUUUAAGAAAGCUCUUAUGUUUUUAAAAUCAACUUUUAUUGCCGUUUUUACAAUGAUAUUGCUGUGCAGAAUUUGCAUGUUUUCUCUCAUAGGUUGAGUUUUAAUCACUGUGAUGUAUUAGAAUUUUUUAAAUAAAAUGUUUAAAACAUUGUUUAGUUGUAAGGGUGACUCUACUUAACUUUUUUUUUUUUUUUUUAAACGACAAAUCAUUUCUUCCUCGUCUUGAUACAACCAUUACAUUACAUGCCAUCGGUGGAAGUAAAUGUUUUGUUUGUGGAAAAGGACAUGUUCAUGUUAUAAAGGGAAUUAUUUUUCGUAUUUUUCUUUUUCAUAAGUUGUAUUGUACAUUACUGAAAAUAAACAACAGUACCC